UUGCAAAAGAAGUAGGUAGCUUAACCUUCGGGAGGGCGCUUACCACUUUGUGAUUCAUGACUGGGGUGAAGUCGUAACAAGGUAACCGUAGGGGAACCUGCGGUUGGAUCACCUCCUUACC
rnacentral:rRNA from 1 species